GUGGGGAAUAUUGGACAAUGGGCGCAAGCCUGAUCCAGCCAUGCCGCGUGAGUGAUGAAGGCCCUAGGGUUGUAAAGCUCUUUCACCGGUGAAGAUAAUGACGGUAACCGGAGAAGAAGCCCCGGCUAACUUCGUGCCAGCAGCCGCGGUAAUACGAAGGGGGCUAGCGUUGUUCGGAAUUACUGGGCGUAAAGCGCACGUAGGCGGACAUUUAAGUCAGGGGUGAAAUCCCGGGGCUCAACCCCGGAACUGCCUUUGAUACUGGGUGUCUGGAGUAUGGAAGAGGUAAGUGGAAUUCCGGGUGUAGAGGUGAAAUUCGUAGAUAUUCGGAGGAACACCAGUGGCGAAGGCGGCUCACUGGCUCGAUACUGACGCUGAGGUGCGAAAGCGUGGGGAGCAAACAGGAUUAGAAACCCCAGUAGUCC
rnacentral:rRNA from 1 species